rnacentral:tRNA from 1 species
GUCCGGGUGGCGGAAUGGCAGACGCGCUAGCUUGAGGUGCUAGUGCCCUUAGCGGGCGUGGGGGUUCAAGUCCCCCUCCGGACA